rnacentral:lncRNA from 1 species
ACUUUUGCUUUCACUUUAACAAAUCUUGCAGCCGCACACUCUUUGGGUCCGCCCGUUUCUCUAAUCAAGUUGUAACACUCGCUGCUGUGGUCCACAGCUUCAUUCCUUGAAGCCCGUGAGACACGAACGCUUCCAUUGAGAAAAACCUUCCAUCAGAAGAAGACUUCUCGUCUCAGUGGGACUGCUGAGUUGAAUGGUGCUUUUUUUUCUGAAGCUUUGGUAGUGUAACUGUAAGAGUCCUGGAAUUGGAAAAGCAAAUCCAGAAGUUGAGUUCCAUGACUUUUUUGCUGUUUGCCUUUGGACUUGCAUCAUUUAUAUUUUUAAUUCAUCGAGGAUGAGAAAAUUGAUUAACACAAAAUCUUUUCAUGUCUUUUCUGAUGAGAGACUAGCUGAAUCCAAGAAGAGAAGCCCUUGAAGAGUGUAUUCUAUUCUAGACAAGCAUUCACACAUUGGCUUCUUUGGUGCCAGAUUAAAGAAUGAAGAAAGGAUCAAAUUGAGACAUCCAGGGGGGAAGAGUUCCCUGGCAAAACUCCAAUCUGCCUGAGCACUGAGGUGGAGCCACAGAAGUCCGGGUCAUUUGCACCUGGGAGGAGCCUGGCCCCUCCUCUUCCUGUGUGGAAUCUGGGAUUUAAUCUGUGAGGAGGGAAGGCCAAGGGCAGGAAGCACAGGCUCUCACUUCACUAAGAGUCUCUGUUUCCCCUUUUUUUCCUUUAUGCCUAAUUAAUAAAUCCCAUUUUUCUCACUCUUCAAAUAGUCUUCAAGCCUAAAUUUUCAUGACCAUGGAACAAGGACCCCAUCUUUAGCUGAACUAAGGAAAAGUCCUGCAACAAAAUUCUUUGCUAAAAAUACAUGAGGUUGCCUUUUCCUUCUUAAUCUUAAAAGAAAUAUAUUUCAAUGGUUAACGUUUUAGUAAUUCAAAAAUUAUCAAGCAUUUGUUCACAACCAUAAGAUGUGCAUUGUUUUAUAUUCCUACUUAAUAAUAGACUAUAAUUGUCUAAUUAGACUGCCGAUGUUGAUCUUUGUGGCUCAUUGCAUUGAUUAUAAGCAGUGUUUUGGGUUUGUGUGUGUGUGUCAAAUUUAGGGUUUUUUUGGUAUGGCUGCUGGUUGGUGUAGCCUGUAUCCAGUAUCCUGUAUUAAUUCUAAUAUUUGCAUUUUGAACAUAUUUACAAGUUGCUAAAAUAGCAAAGCUUCGAGAUGAGCCUGGCUGAUAUGGCAAAACCCCGUCUCUACUAAAAAUACAAAAAUUAGCCUGGUGUGGUGGUGCAUGCCUGUAAUCCCAGCUACUUGGAAGUCUGAGGCAGGAGAAUCUCUUGAACCCAGAAGGUGGAGGUUGCAGUGGGCCAAGAUCGCACCACUGCACUCCAGCCUCGGUGAUAGAGCGAGACUACGUCUCAAAAAUAAAAUAAAAUAAAAUAAAAUAAAAAUAGCAAAGCUAUGUAUGGUUUCUCUGAGUUUUGUAAUUUAUCAUUGUUAACUGCAGAAAUUUAUUAUAUGAGACAUAUUAUAUGAGACAUAUAAGUGAAUUUGGAUUGGGUUUAAUUUUAUAUUUUUGAAUAUAGUUCUUCAAGAUAAAUUUUAUCUUAGACCUCAAGAAAUAAAAAUAAAAUAAAUUAGAUAUACAAACGAACACAAAUGUAUGCAGUCCUAGCCUAAUUUAAGACAUUAACUUGGAUAAGUCAAAGGUAUAUGUUGCAAUUCCUGGAGUAACCACUAAAAAUAAUACAAUACUAUUAUAUCUAGAAAUCUAAUAGAGUAAUUAAAAAGUUUUAUUAAUCCCCAAAAAGGCAGAAAAGUU